UGUUGAAUCUCCAUCUUUAGAGAUUUUCAAGAGCAGGUUAGACAAACACCAUUCAUAGAUGGUCUAGAGAAUAUUUAGUCAUGCCUUGAGUGCAGGGGACUGGACUAGAAGACCUCUCGAGGUCCCUUCCAGCCCUACGCUUCGAUGAUU